rnacentral:SRP_RNA from 1 species
GCCAGGGUGUGGUGGUGUGAACUUGUAGUCCCAGCUACUCGGAGGCUGAGGCAGGAGGAUCGCUUGAGUCAAGGGGUUCUGGGCUGUGGUGUGCUAUGCCAGUCAGGUGUCUGUGCUAAGUCUGGCAUCAAUAGAGUGACCUCCCAGGAGUGGGAGACGACCAGGUUGCCUACGGAGGGGUGAGCCAGCCCAGGUGGAAGGGAGCAGGUCCAACCUCCCAUGCAGACCAGUAGUGGGAUCAUGCCUGAGAAUAGUUACUGGACAGCACAGCCUGGACAGCACAGCAAGAUCCCAUCUCU